UGGUCAACGUGCUACCCAUCCCAUGUGUACAAAGCAUAUCCCUUCCUCAUUCCUCUGCUCCACCAUGUUUGAGAAGGGAAAAAUAGAUGGAGAGGGUGUACCAAAUUGAUUGGCCUACUCGUCCAUGUGAUGGGGAGUGCCGGAGUGGCUGCACCAAAUCGAGUGGCCUGCCCGUGCAUCAACAAAGCUGGGAAGGAGAUUAUCUUGGAGGCCAGAUCUGAGCGAGGUCGGGGCACGCGUUCUAGCCGCGGAUUUGGCGCUCCCUAGCAGCGAGGCAAGGCGGUCGCCGGGGAGGCCACUGAAGAAUAUGAGUGAUCCGUAGUUGGUAACUUCCCUAAUGGCGCUGCUAUCCUGUUCGUGUCACUGGGCCAAGGAUUGUGGUGUCGGGUUUGACGGCCAUGUUCUUCAUAGUGUUCCUCAUCUUAUGUGGCAGAGUAGUGAUGGCAGUGGGCUACGCUGGGAAGGCAACAGGAUGCUGAUCUCCAUCGACAUGCCAUCGCUCGGCUCCGCACAGUCUACUCGGUGUCCCGGGCCCCGUCGCCUCCUCCGUCUGCUGCCUUAUAGGGAUAGGCGGCCCUUUUGGUCCUGCUUUCUUUGAGCCUGCGUGCUCGCUCUGCUGGCUAGCUAUGCCAUGUAACGCACUUAUCACCGGUCUCGCCUUUUGGCUCUGCCUCGAAACUUGGCUGUCUAGCUUCGGUUCCGUUUAGUUUGGUCUUGAUACUUUGUUUGCACGCUGCCUAUUGUUGUGGGCUUUAUUAAUUUAAAGCCGGACGUCUCUGACGUCUAUGUUCUAAAAAAAAGGUAAGGUUGAGUUACCUAGUUCUGGUAAAUUAUAAUACAGACGAUGAACUCAUAUAUUUUGUUGUUGUUCAUGUAAGGAUCAUUUAGGAUAUGAAUUAUAGAGUUAUUUAACUUUUCA